UGAGUAAAGAAACAUAGAAAGAGUUACAGAGAGCAAACGUGAGAAAGAAAGAAGGAAAGAAAGAAAGAAAUAGAAAAGGAAAUUUGAGGAUUAAGGCCCUAAAGUUUAAUUGUAGCAAACGUAGCACCGGAUACGUCAUCAAAGAAGGGAAAAGAGAAAGUGAACGAAGAUAUCGAUUAAAUUCGAUAAAUAGUGGUUUGUAUUUCUAUAAACCGAGCUUAAUCGUUAUUGCUAUAUUUGAUAUUUAUAUUGUAUGAAAAUGUGAAUGAGGUAAGUAUUUUUACCA